rnacentral:rRNA from 1 species
GAUGAACGCUGGCGGCGUGCCUAACACAUGCAAGUCGAGCGAGAUUAAUGUGAGUGGAGACUUCGGUCAAAGCGAUCAUUAUGAAAGCGGCGGACGGGUGAGUAACGCGUGAGCAAUCUGCCCCAUACAAAGGGAUACCCACUGGAAACGGUGAUUAAUACCUUAUAAGACCACGAAGUCGCAUGGCUUUGGGGCCAAAGAUUUAUCGGUAUGGGAUGAGCUCGCGUCUGAUUAGCUAGUUGGUAAGGUAAUGGCUUACCAAGGCGACGAUCAGUAGCCGACCUGAGAGGGUGAACGGCCACACUGGAACUGAGACACGGUCCAGACUCCUACGGGAGGCAGCAGUGGGGAAUAUUGCACAAUGGGCGCAAGCCUGAUGCAGCAACGCCGCGUGAAUGAUGAAGGCCGUCGGGUCGUAAAGUUCUGUCCAAAGGGAAGAAUAAAGUGACGUGUACCUGAAGAAUAAGCAUCGGCUAACUCCGUGCCAGCCGCCGCGGUAAUAC